CUCCUCGUCUCCACUGCAACGACAAAGGUCAUAACUUGAUGUUCGUUCCUGUUGUAGUGCUCUAUGUUGUUCUAGAUUUAUACGAUGUUAGUGAGUUGGUGCUCAUGAUUGCAUCAUAGCUAUUAGCUUUGUGAAGGCAAGAGGAUGAACAAGAAGUGGGUAUGAUAAAUAGUAGCAUGAUAAAUACGACCCCUGCUUUAUUCUUCAGUCAACAUUACUUUUUCUUUUUAGUCCAGUGAACGCUAUCAAUACAUGUAUACUCAAAUAUUUGGUGGAGUACAAUAAAGCAUGGAGUUGUAAAGAUUGGACACUCUUUUUCUACAAUGUUUCAGUGGCUAUGGUACAACUAAUUUUCGCCUUCUAGCUAUAUGUGUUAUCCUAAAACUGACAAUUACAUUGUCACUUUGGUGGAGCAAAUGCUAGCUUACAACAGGAAUACAUGUAUAACCUUUAUUUGGCACAACAUUAGAUACAUAUAUGUUGGUGAGAUAGUAACUUGGAAGGAAAAUUGUACCUAUAGUACUUAGUUAUGGUGUUUUUAUGGUCUAUUUGCGGUUGUAUUGGCACUGUCAAGAUGGAACUUUGUAUAGUUGUGCAUCUUUAGGUUUCAUAAUUCAUGGGCAUAACAGGGCAUAAGUAGUGUCCUUCAGUUUACCGGCAAAAUCGUGAGCACCAUCAGUUCCCCCCUUUGAUUUUUUCUUGUUUGUCUUCUUGUGAUAUGGAAGUGCUCUAGAUUUUGUACUACGUGUGUGCCCUUUUUCAGCUAUGCAGUUACCCAGUUGUGAUUUUUGUGCUUAGUCUACUCCUGAAUCUUGUAGAAUGAUAUAACUUGUCAUCAGCUAAUUGGUUGUGCAUGUGUCAUUAAAGUAAGGAUGUGUUUUUUUGGUAAUAAGGAUCAGUCCUGAUUCUUUUGAGAAUCACAAGAAACGGUGCCAAAAUGCGAUUUGUACAGAAUUAUACACUGGGAUUUUCAUAACCAUAA
rnacentral:lncRNA from 1 species